rnacentral:misc_RNA from 1 species
GAUGAAGAACGUAGCAAAAUGCGAUAACUAAUGUGAAUUGCAGAAUUCAGUGAAUCAUCGAGUCUUUGAACGCACAUUGCGCCCCCUGGUAUUCCGGGGGGCAUGCCUGUCCGAGCGUCAUUGCUGCCCUCAAGCACGGCUUGUGUGUUGGGCUCCGUCCCCCCGGGGACGGGCCCGAAAGGCAGCGGCGGCACCGAGUCCGGUCCUCGAGCGUAUGGGGCUUUGUCACCCGCUCUGUAGGCCCGGCCGGCGCCAGCCGACAACCCAUCAUCCUUUUCAGGUUGACCUCGGAUCAGGUAGGGAUACCCGCUGAACUUAAGCAUAUCAAUAAGCGGAGGA